rnacentral:rRNA from 1 species
GAUGAACGCUGGCGGCGUGCCUAAUACAUGCAAGUCGAGCGAACGGACGAGAAGCUUGCUUCUCUGAUGUUAGCGGCGGACGGGUGAGUAACACGUGGAUAACCUACCUAUAAGACUGGGAUAACUUCGGGAAACCGGAGCUAAUACCGGAUAGUAUUUUGAACCGCAUGGUUCAAAAGUGAAAGACGGUCUUGCUGUCACUUAUAGAUGGAUCCGCGCUGCAUUAGCUAGUUGGUAAGGUAACGGCUUACCAAGGCAACGAUGCAUAGCCGACCUGAGAGGGUGAUCGGCCACACUGGAACUGAGACACGGUCCAGACUCCUACGGGAGGCAGCAGUAGGGAAUCUUCCGCAAUGGGCGAAAGCCUGACGGAGCAACGCCGCGUGAGUGAUGAAGGUCUUCGGAUCGUAAAACUCUGCUAUUAGGGAAGAACAUAUGUGUAAGUAACUGUGCACAUCUUGACGGUACCUAAUCAGAAAGCCACGGCUAACUACGUG